rnacentral:rRNA from 1 species
CGCCCUACGGGGGGCAGCAGUGGGGAAUAUUGCACAAUGGGGGAAACCCUGAUGCAGCAACGCCGCGUGCGUGAAGAAGUAUUUCGGUCUGUCCCGCUCUCUCCGCCGGGACGCCGCUGCCGGUACCUGAGUAAGAAGCCACGGCUAACUACGUGCCAGCAGCCGCGGUCAUACGUCGGUGGCAAGCGUUGUCCGGACUUCCUGGGUGUACAGGGCGCGCCGGCGGGCCGCACCGUC